GGUCCGGUGGCGGAGUGGCUACGCAGAGGACUGCAAAUCCUCGUACGCCGGUUCAAUUCCGGCCCGGACCUCCA
rnacentral:tRNA from 1 species